rnacentral:rRNA from 1 species
UACAGAGGUCUCAAGCGUUGUUCGGAUUCAUUGGGCGUAAAGGGUGCGUAGGCGGCGCGGUAAGUCGGGUGUGAAAUCUCGGAGCUUAACUCCGAAACUGCAUUCGAUACUGCGGUGCUUGAGGACUGGAGAGGAGACUGGAAUUUACGGUGUAGCGGUGAAAUGCGUAGAUAUCGUAAGGAAGACCAGUGGCGAAGGCGGGUCUCUGGACAGUUCCUGACGCUGAGGCACGAAGGCCAGGGGAGCAAACGGG